rnacentral:rRNA from 1 species
UGAGGAAUAUUGCACAAUGGGCGAAAGCCUGAUGCAGCAACGCCGCGUGAGGGACGAAGGCCUUCGGGUCGUAAACCUCUUUUCUGGGGGAAGAGAUCAGGACGGUACCUCAGGAAUAAGUCUCGGCUAACUACGUGCCAGCAGCCGCGGUAAAACGUAGGAGGCGAGCGUUAUCCGGAUUUACUGGGCGUAAAGCGCACGCAGGCGGCCCCGUUAGUCGGACGUGAAAGCUCCUGGCUUAACUGGGAGAGGCCGUUCGAUACUGCGGGGCUUGAGGUUGGGAGAGGGGUGUGGAAUUCCCGGUGUAGUGGUGGAAUGCGUAGAGAUCGGGAGGAACACCUGUGGCGAAAGCGGCACCCUGGCCCACACCUGACGCUGAGGUGCGAAAGCGUGGGUAGCAAACAGGAUUAGAUACCCUGGUAGUCCACGCUGUAAACGAUGUCAACUAGGUGUCGGUGGUUUUACACCAUCGGUGCCGUAGCAAACGCGUUAAGUUGACCGCCUGGGGACUACGGCCGAC